ACCCCCGGAGGCCGACUGGACCCCCGGAGGCCGACUGGACCCCCGGAGGCGUGGACCAGAGGCUGAGGCUGGAAGGACCAGGUUGGACCAGGAACCGAAGCUGGAGACCAGAGAAAUGCCCCACGGGAUCGGACCAGAGGGAACCUCAGAUGCAGAAGGUGUCGAGUGUGGCAGCUACACCUGGGAUUCCUGGCUGACGGAGGAGUCGUGCUGGAGGAGGUCCUGCCUGGUGGAGGCGGUCCAUCGUGGGGCAGAUGGAGCCUGACUCUAACGCCAGGACUCUGUGGCGUGGAGGAGCUGGGACUCCUGAGGACAGCCAGGACUCCACCAACAAGGAUUCCUCGACAUGAGCUGGACCAGAGAACCGCUGGUGGGGAGCCGUAGAUCUGGAGGAAGACCAUGACUCUACCAGCAAGUAUUCCAUAGGAAUUACAUAACAGGGUGGCCUUAAAGGGCAAACUACUGCUGUUACUACAAGUUAUGCCAAACGACAUGUUUAAUCAAAUGUUGUAGCCAGACCUCCGCCGUGUUUGUUACAGACCAGGACUCCGUGGCUGAGGAGCUGUGAGUCUGGAGGAAGAACAGGACUCUGUCUACAGGUCUGUAACCAGACCGGGAAUCUGGACAACUGAUGGAGAAACCAUACCUCUGACCAGGACUCCGUGGCAGAAGAGGGCUGAUGGAGGAGCUCUGACUCCGGAGAUCGACCAUGACUCUACUAGCAAGUAGUCCUUGACGCUGGUGAAAUCCGGUUUGGUCCAGGACCCACACCUGAUCUGAACCCAACCUGAUCCUGUUUGUUCCUGUCCCCUCAUCCUCAAGAAGAACUGCUGAGCUUCAGCAGUCUGAGGCUGAUGGAUCAAUUAACUCCAGUCUGAAUAACCUUGAACCCACAUGUACCCGUGUACUUCCACACUGCUUUCCCUCAUGUCUGUCACUAACUAACCUCACUACUUCACUGUCCUCUCUACUCCCUUCCGUUCCUCUUGCUUCUCCAUGGUUCGAACCAGCACUCUGAAUGAGUGUCUUCUUGCCCUCAGAGGGUUCAGUGUUAGGGUUGAGAGUCAGGGUUUAGAGUCAGGGACAGAGCUGGUUAGGGAGGAAGGGUUUUUGCACAUGCCUCUUCACUUGCUUGCUGAAUUGUUUUGACAUUUUGAAAUGAUUCAUUGGGAAAAUAUUUUACUGUGCUAUUACUGACAAAUAAAUAUUGAAGUUGUACCAAAUGUCUUUUAUAAAUGUAAAUCCUACAUUGUGACUUAAGAUAUUUGAUUCUGUAAUUUGCCUUGGCUAUUGUCAAGCUAAACAUUUUAAUACAUUGCAUAUAUUUCAUGCAUAUUAUUCACGUAAUAGUUAAUAUAUGAUACAACUUCCAUAUAAACUACACAAUUCCAGUAUUCAUUUAGGUACCGACCCACACAGGCCAUUAAUCUACCACCGUAACCAUUCCAGAAUCAAACCAAUACAGGAUAACUAGGACAUUGGAGAACGAGGUUUCACAAGAACGGCACCAAUAAUGUGUCAUGCCGACCUCAUUUUGGGCAAAAUCAUUUCUACAGGCCUGCGUCCACGUUACCUGACGGAAGGUUCUGUCUGAAGGGUUAAAAAGAUGGCUGACAUUCUAAGUUGAAAAUCCAAUAUUCUGAAU